CUUCCAUCAGGCUUUUUAAUCGACAGACUUGGUAAUGGUCGAUCUGCGAUUCUGUUUAGCACAUUGGUGUUGUUAGGCUCAAUCCUGUUUGCUGUUGGAGCAUCGUCUCAUCCACCUGUGGCUACGCCCAUGUAUAUACUGAUGGUGAUUGGGUAUGGGUUCCUGGCGUUUGGGGAUACACCUCUACGUUUUGUGCAGGCCAGAGUUGUCUCUUAUUGUUUCCCAGAAGCCACAUUAACCGCCCUGGCGUUCGGUAUCUUUGGAUAUAUCGGACAGGGAAUAAGCUUGUACACCACACCACUCACUACAACGACUAUAGGGCUACAAUACGCCAU